CGAGUGCCCCGAGCGUUAUCCGGAAUCACUGGGCGUAAAGGGUGUGUAGGUGGCAGUGUUAGUCAGUUGUUAAAACCUGGGGCUUAACCCCAGAUGUGCGACUGAAACGGCACAGCUAGAGGAUGCGAGGGAUGUAUGGAACUCAUGGAGUAGGGGUGAAAUCCGUUGAUAUCAUGGGGAACACCAAAGCGAAGGCAGUACAUUGGCGCAUUCCUGACACUGAAACACGAAAGCGUGGGUAGCGAAUGGGAUUAGAUACCCCAGUAGUCCACGCCCUAAACGAUGAUAACUAGCUUUUCGGAGUAUCGACCCUCUGAGAGGCGAAGCAAACGCGUUAAGUUAUCCGCCUGGGUAGUACGACUGCAAGGUUA
rnacentral:rRNA from 1 species